rnacentral:rRNA from 1 species
AGUGAACGCUGGCGGUAGGCCUAACACAUGCAAGUCGAACGGCAGCACAGUAAGAGCUUGCUCUUACGGGUGGCGAGUGGCGGACGGGUGAGGAAUACAUCGGAAUCUACUUUUUCGUGGGGGAUAACGUAGGGAAACUUACGCUAAUACCUCAUACGACCUACGGGUGAAAGCAGGGGAUCUUCGGACCUUGCGCGAUUGAAUGAGCCGAUGUCGGAUUAGCUAGUUGGCGGGGUAAAGGCCCACCAAGGCGACGAUCCGUAGCUGGUCUGAGAGGAUGAUCAGCAACACUGGAACUGAGACACGGUCAAGACUCCUACGGGAGGAAGCAGUGGGGAACAUUGGACAAUGGGCGCAAGCCUGAUCCAGCAAUACCGCGUGGGUGAAGAAGGCCUUCGGGUUGUAAAGCCCUUUUGUUGGGAAAGAAAAGCAGCAGGUUAAUACCCCGCUGUUCUGACGGUACCCAAAGAAUAAGCACCGGCUAACUUCGUG